GGUCCAUUAGCGUAGUAGCUAGCGCGCUCGUUUUAAGUAGCCUCUACAACUCGUCAAACCGGUCGGUAGGGGCCUAUUUUUAAGUUAGUUUAUCUUAAUAAGAGGCCGUGGGUUUGAAUCCCACACGGGCCA